AUGUAGUGUAGCAUGCCCGUUUGGUGCUUAACACUGAUGAUUUUAUUUAUACUUUGAUAUAUUUGGGAUAUCGGGGUGUUACAAAAAA
rnacentral:pre_miRNA from 1 species